rnacentral:rRNA from 1 species
CCUACGGGUGGCAGCAGUGAGGAAUAUUUGACAAUGGGCGAGAGCCUGAUCCAGCCAAGUCGCGUGAAGGACGAAGGAUCUAUGGUUUGUAAACCCCUUUUAUAUGGGAAUAAAGUGAGGAACUUGUUCCUUUUUGUAUGUACCAUAUGAAUAAGCAUCGGCCCACCUCGUGCCAGCAGCCGCGGCAAUAUGGAGGAUGCGAGCGUUAUCCGGAUUUAGUGGGUUUAAAGGGUGCGUAGGUGGUUAAUUAAGUCAGCGGUGAAAGUGGGUGGCUCAACCAUAAAAUGGCAGUUGAGACUGGUUGACUUGAGUAUAGUAGAGGGAGGCGGAAUGCGAGGUGUAGCGGUGAAAUGCGUAGAUAUCACGAAGAACACCGGUGGCGAAGGCGGCUUACUAAACUAUAACUGACGCUGAGGCACGAAAGCGUGGGGAUCAAACAGGAUUAGAUACCCGGGUAGUC